GACGAACGCUGGCGGCGUGCCUAAUACAUGCAAGUAGGACGCAGUUGCGAACGGGUGAGUACCGCGUAGGUAACUGCCUAUCAGAGGGGGAUAACUAUUGGAAACGAUAGCUAAUACCGCAUACUAGUAGAUAGACCUGCGUUGUAUUAGCUAGUAGGUAGGGAAAUGGCCCACCUAGGCGACGAUACAUAGCCGACCCUAUGGGGUGAUCCGCACACCUGGGACUGGGGCCCGGACCAGACGACUACGGGAGGCCGCAGUAGGGAAUCUUCGGCAAUGGGGGGAACCCCGACCGGGAAACGGCGCGUGAGUGAAGAAGGUUUUCGGAUCGUAAAGCUCUGUUGUUAAGGAAGCGGUACUUAACCAGAAAGGGACGGCUAACUACGUGCCAGCCGCCGCGGUAAUAC
rnacentral:rRNA from 1 species